rnacentral:rRNA from 1 species
GUCUACGGCCAUACCAGCCUGAAUGCUCCUGAUCUCCUCUGAUCUUGGAAGAAUCAUAGCUGGGAAGAGGAGUGAUUAAGGUAUCUUUAAAGAAAUAAACUGAGGCUGGAUU